CCUACGGGAGGCUGCAGUGGGGAAUAUUGCACAAUGGGCGAAACCCUGAUGCAGCGACGCCGCGUGAAGGAAGAAGUAUCUCGGUAUGUAAACUUCUAUCAGUAGGGAAGAAAAUGACGGUACCUGACUCAGAAGCCCCGGCUAACUACGUUCCAGCAGCCGCGGUAAUACGUAGGGGGCAAGCGUUAUCCGGAUUUACUGGGUGUAAAGGGAGCGUAGACGGAAGGGCAAGUCUGAUGUGAAAGGCUGGGGCUUAACCCCAGGACUGCAUUGGAAACUGUUUUUCUAGAGUGCAGGAGAGGUAAGCGGAAUUCGUAGUGUAGCGGUGAAAUGCGUAGAUAUUAGGAGGAACACCAGUGGCGAAGGCGGCUUACUGGACGGUAACUGACGUUGAGGCUCGAAAGCGUGGGGAGCAAACAGGAUUAGAUACCCCAGUAGUC
rnacentral:rRNA from 1 species